CCAGGCGCGAAAACUUUACAAUGCGGGCAACCGUGAUAAGGGAACCUCGAGUGCCUGUAUAUGCAGGCUGUCCAGGUGUCUAAAACACACCUGAAGAAAGGGCCGGGCAAGACCGGUGCCAGCCGCCGCGGUAAUACCGGCGGCUCGAGUGGUGGCCGCUUUUAUUGGGCUUAAAGCGUUCGUAGCUGGGUCGUUAAGUCUCUUGGGAAAUCCGGCAGCUUAACUGUCGGGCGUCUAAGGGAUACUGGCGAUCUUGGAACCGGGAGAGGUGAGGGGUACUUCAGGGGUAGGAGUGAAAUCCUGUAAUCCUUGAGGGACCACCUGUGGCGAAGGCGCCUCACCAGAACGGCUUCGACAGUGAGGGACGAAAGCUGGGGGAGCAAACCGGAUUAGAUACCCGGGUAGUCCCAGCCGUAAACGAUGUGCGUUAGGUGUAUCGACGACCACGAGUCGUCGAGGUGCCGAAGGGAAACCGUGAAACGUACCGCCUGGGAAGUACGGUCGCAAGGCUGAAACUUAAAGGAAUUGGCGGGGGAGCACCACAACAGGUGGAGCCUGCGGUUUAAUUGGACUCAACGCCGGGUAGCUCACCGGAUAAGACAGCUGAAUGAUUGCCGGGCUGAAGACUCUGCAUGACUAGCUGAGAGGAGGUGCAUGGCCGUCGUCAGUCGUACUGUGAAGCAU
rnacentral:rRNA from 1 species